GAUAUGCCCAAUUGGGAGGUGGGCCCAUUUGGCACCUAUGCCUGCCUUCUAAGCUAUGUGGACCUAGACCCCGAAAUUCCACUAAAUGGCUGGAAUCCACUUUCAGGGCUUGAGAAACCUUUUACUUUGGUCAUUCCUCCUGAAGGCAGCUCUCUCCACUUGUGGGUGUGUCCCUAGACCUGGGCUAUAGCUAUGUGGGAGGAGUGUGGGAGAACAAGAAGAGGCUGGGGAUGGAAAAGAAGAAGGUUUUCCCCAGCCAACCAUGGUCUGGAAGCAGAUGAUCUUCCUUCUGGGGUGUCAUCAGAAGGUCAAUAGCACCCUGAUGCUACAUCACAGUGCCUGAGUCAUUCACCUCACUUCAUCUUAUCACGUAGGCGUUUUAUCUCCCAUCAUCACAACAAGAAGACAGACCAGCAACGCUGAACUACUUACAGUUUCCUCUCCUACGGAGUUCUUCUCCAAUGCUGUUUAUCCUCUCCAUGCCUCUGCGUAGUCUGCUGCUUUUGCUGGAAGACCUCCAUAUUUUCUAGCUGAUCUGAGACUCCACCCCAGAUCAUCUUUUCAGGAAAUCUUACCUGACCAUUUCCCUCUACAUCUCUAACUUUUUUAGGGGCCUUUAUGGGAUCCCCAAAUUCCCUUAUAAAUAUCUUUAUCAUUACACACCUAUUUUUUUCCCCUAAGUGUCACUAUUUCUUUGUUUGCAGCUUUUAUUAAUCUGAGAGUUCAUUGGCCACAGGGACUAUGCC